rnacentral:lncRNA from 1 species
UUUACUAAAUUGAAGAUACGUUGCGUCUCAGACUCUCACUCUCUCAAGUCUCAGCCGUCCAUUUAAUUUAGACUACUGCAGUGAGUGCUCGGUCCUUCACUCCUUCUCCACUCCAGUUCUCCUUCACGUCCUUACUUAGUUACUCUUUACCUUAGACUCGAACUCUCAGACCUCAGUAUUCUCUCUGUCUCUCAGUCCUCACCUCAGAUCAGAUCUCUGAUCUCUCUCAUCUCAAGACUCAAGUCUCGACUGUCUCGUCGUCUUCUCGAACUCUCAGUCUCAGAGUCUCAGAUCUGAGAUCUCUCAAGCCUCAAGUGUCGAACUCUCGAACUCUCGACGCCGGCGACCCUUCAUCGUUCAUCGCGAACUCUUAGAUCUCGGCGCCGGCGACAACUUUCUAUUUGUUAAGGUAAUUUUUUUAUUUACCUUUACUAAAUUCUCGAAGACCGAUUGCUUUUUAGUGCAUCUUUUUAGUGUAAUUAUUUUUAUGUAAUUGUGUCUGUUGCAUGUGUAAUUUCUGAGGUUUUGAAAAGAACUGAUUUGGCUUUAAUUUUGCUCUAUUUUGAUGGGUACCCAUUUCAUUGUUCUUACAAAAUAAGAUGUAGUAAUAUGCUAAUGUUUGUAUAUGUAAAUUUAAGAAUUUUGGGUAAUCGGGUAAUUCUAAAUUUGUUUGUUGAAAUCCUCAAUUUGUAAAAAAAAUUCAAAAACUGAUGUGGGUUUUUUGUUACUAGUUAUUUGGUCAUGAGAAUGCAUUCAUUGAGUUGCCUCGAAAUUGUUCAGUGGAUGUUGUCCAGUAUUUUGUAUAUAUGAAUAUCUGGUUACUUUUUAGAACCUAGGGAUUUGUAUGAACUGAGUUACUAAAUGAGCAAUGUGGGAUGAUAUAAACAGAGAGAGUACUAAUUGGUUAAUAUAUGACUGCAAGUUUAAUCUAUGCCUGUGAUUUGAUCCAUUAAUUGGUUAAGAGACCAAACAAACUAUAAUAUAUAUAUAUAUAUAUAUAUAUAUAUAUAUAUCCUGUUUAUGUUUAUUUUGGUGCUGCAAGUUUAAUUUUGGUCCUGUUAUGUUAUGCAAGUUCAAUUUUAUAUCAUAGUUACAUCCCCCUAGUCCCACUACUUGUUGUAAUUUGAUUCUUAAUUUGCUUGGCCUUAAUGUGGUGAAUGCUGCUACAAGUUUCAUAUCAACCUAAGUUUUCUUUUAGGGUCUUGGAUACCACUAUAUCCAGCUGGUUUAUAAUUUUUUGUAUUGUGUGUUGAUUAAAGUAAAGAAUUCUUCUUUUUGUACUAGUUGUGACUGUGAUAACUAAGAAGUCAGGUUAGCAGCAGUUGUUGCCAUAUGCUAAUGUGUUGGCUAAAAUAAUACUAUAUAUCUCUUGGAAUCGAGUUUGAAUCUUUCUUUGUUUUCUUUCCAGUAUAGCAGUAAAGACAAACUCANNN